GAUGAACGCUGGCGGCGUGCCUAAUACAUGCAAGUCGAGCGAACAGACGAGGAGCUUGCUCCUCUGACGUUAGCGGCGGACGGGUGAGUAACACGUGGAUAACCUACCUAUAAGACUGGGAUAACUUCGGGAAACCGGAGCUAAUACCGGAUAAUAUAUUGAACCGCAUGGUUCAAUAGUGAAAGACGGUUUUGCUGUCACUUAUAGAUGGAUCCGCGCCGCAUUAGCUAGUUGGUAAGGUAACGGCUUACCAAGGCGACGAUGCGUAGCCGACCUGAGAGGGGGAGCGGAAAAACGGGAAAUGAGACACGGUCCAGACUCCUACGGGAGGCAGAAGGAGGGAAUCUUCCGCAAUGGGCGAAAGCCUGACGGAGCAACGCCGCGUGAGUGAUGAAGGUCUUCGGAUCGUAAAACUCUGUUAUUAGGGAAGAACAAAUGUGUAAGUAACUAUGCACGUCUGGACGGUACCUAAGCAGAAAGCCACGGCUAACUACGU
rnacentral:rRNA from 1 species